AUGCAACUGCAAAUCUUGUAAGGUGACUAAGGUCAAAGGUUGUUCAAUGUUUAUAUUGAUGAUUUAUUAACUCUUAGCAAGAUUAAUGCACAAUAUUUACAAUAUACAAUCUUUUGGUUGUUUAGUUUUCUCCUUCUGCUAGUGAUGAAUUUACUGGCCAGAAUUUGAUUUGUUGAGUACUUUCGGAAUUUUCUUUAUUUCAAGGGAGUCUGAUGUAAUGCCACAUGCUUCCAGAAUGAUAAAGCUGCCAAUAG
rnacentral:lncRNA from 1 species